GACGAACGCUGGCGGCGUGCUUAACACAUGCAAGUCGAACGGAAAGGCCCUGCUUUUGUGGGGUGCUCGAGUGGCGAACGGGUGAGUAACACGUGAGUAACCUGCCCUUGACUUUGGGAUAACUUCAGGAAACUGGGGCUAAUACCGGAUAGGAGCUCCUGCUGCAUGGUGGGGGUUGGAAAGUUUCGGCGGUUGGGGAUGGACUCGCGGAUUAUCAGCUUGAUGGUGGGGUAGUGGCUUACCAAGGCUUUGACGGGUAGCCGGCCUGAGAGGGUGACCGGACACAUUGGGACUGAGAUACGGCCCAGACUCCUACGGGAGGCAGCAGUGGGGAAUAUUGCACAAUGGGCGGAAGCCUGAUGCAGCAACGCCGCGUGCGGGAUGACGGCCUUCGGGUUGUAAACCGCUUUCGCCUGUGACGAAGCGUGAGUGACGGUAAUGGGUAAAGAAGCACCGGCUAACUACGUG
rnacentral:rRNA from 1 species